rnacentral:rRNA from 1 species
UCCUACGGGGCGCAGCAGUGGGGGAUAUUGCACAAUGGGGGGAACCCUGAUGCAGCGACGCCGCGUGAGUGAAGAAGUAUCUCGGUAUGUAAAGCUCUAUCAGCAGGGAAGAAGCAAGACGGUACCUGACUAAGAAGCCCCGGCUAACUACGUGCCAGCAGCCGCGGUAAUACGUAGGGGGCGAGCGUUAUCCGGAUUUACUGGGUGUAAAGGGAGCGUAGACGGCAUGGCAAGUCUGAAGUGAAAGGCAUGGGCUUAACCCCUGACCUGCUUUGGAAACUGCCAUGCUAGAGUGCUGGAGAGGG